rnacentral:lncRNA from 1 species
AUGUAUGUAACAACAGGGAAAAUACUGCUCUAGCACAAAUGGCCUAUUCAAAGGACUGGUCGGUCAUAUGGGACAACACAAUUAGCGGAUGCCAUAUCCUAGUCCCAACAUGUCAGUGAUUCAGUCUGGCGUUCCAUACUCCCAAACAAUGUUACUAGGUACCAGCAUAAUCUCCACAUCCAAACACACAUGGAUAGUGUCAAGACAUUGAUUGGCCAAAGGUAUGCCAUUACUCACAUAGACACAACCCGUCGCUGGUAUUACCAGCACUGCAGUUCUCACUACUUUGAGAUUGCAUUUUGUCUAUUACGAACUAAUACCUGUCUGAAUUCCUUCUUCCAUUCCUGUAACUUGAGUCUCACACCAAACUGUCCACAUUGCAAUACCCACGAAACUCCUUUCCACUUCUGGAUAGAAUG